GGAUUAGGAAACAAAGGAGCUAUCCACCACCUGUGCGUUCAAGCGACAGGUACAACGGAAACAUGUCUCUGUUUUAUGAAGUGGAGCUGUUCAGUGGGUUUGAAAGCGCUGUUGUCGGCUUAUAUUAUCAGCAAAAUGAUCUCUGCCAGCCCUUCUUCGAACUGUUUAUAUAAUGGUAAACAUCCAAGUCAGCGGUCCUACUCUGCUUUUGCCUGAACUGAACUGAACUGUAAAUGCAAACUUCAGGCUGACUAGUGCAGUUUGCACAGGUGCAGCGUAACAGCACCUCAGCAUCUUGUGACAAAUGAUGUAUGCUUGUGGAAAAAUCAUCAUAUUAUGAAGUACAUGGACAGACUGACACACUGUAAAUAAACCUGAUGCACAGAGCUGUAUAUCACUCUAUGAAGUUGGCUAACACUCACAAUAUAGUUUGUCUUGGUCUUUGCAUAAAUGGUGAGUUCUGGUAAAAAGGUCCUUAGAUAUAAUUAGAAUUGGUUGCAGUCUCACACAGAUGCCAACUGCAGUUAAGGUUGAGAUGUUUUUUUCAGGCCCAAUUUAAAGUCAUUACAUUGCACUAAAAUCUCACCUAUGUUAACACAUUCCAUUGUGCAGUGUAAAACUGAAAGUAAGCAGCUUUGUUCUUUUAUAUGCUGACUGUCUCAAACCAACGUACAUACACUUCUGCGUCACUGCACAGCCGACAGACCCUUUAUCACGGCAGGGUGGACACAGCUGUGCCCAAUAAAAUAAACCUGAUUCAGGUGUGCGAAUUAGCAAGCCUUGAUGACAAUGGUGUUUUUUUUUGUGCUUUCCUUAUAAAUCAUGGGCUUCUUAAAUCAAACAUUAUUGUGAUAUUACAGUAACAAAUGAGCCAGAACCACAAGGUAUUUGUUUCUGAUAAUCACAUCAGUUCAGUUUUGAAACGCACAGCUGGGGAUGGACCUGUUUCUAUGAUCAACUUGCCUCAUUGUCUGUGUAGAGCUGUGAGUGUGCACUGCCUGAGUCUUCCUCUGUCUCUUCACAAAGGUGAAAAUGAGUCGGAAGGAUCACUGCAUCUGCAUCAUUUAUCAGACAGAAAAAUAAAUAACAGAUCCUCGAGAGUCCUACAGCAUGGCCUUUUCACAUGAGUGACACGGACAGCAAAAAGCUUCUGUCUCCAAUCAAAAGUGCUGGUUUUCAUAAAUAAUGCAUCGAGUGAGUGCUUGUGGGUACUAAAGAUCUUCUGGGUUUCUUGGUUCACGGUACAAUACUAGGCUUUGGGUUUUCAAGAGACAUUUUACAGACUGUAUUUUAUUUUGAAUAUGACCUGAUUUUGUGUAAAGUUUAAUUUUCAGAACAAAAGCCCCAAACUUUUUUUUACCUCAAUGAAUGCUGAAUAUGUUGAAACUCAUAUCUCAGAACCAUCCUGAAGACAGAUGCAUCCUUAUAUCCAUCAAGGUGUGGCAGGAUGUUUGCUCACAAACUGACAUUACUGUCAAACACCUGUUCAAAGUCAGUCCUUUAUUUCCUUGUUACCAUAUCUGUAAAAAUAUAGGAUUGGUCCAAAGUUGAACCAAAUGUAAAGAAACUGGUGUGAUUUCAAUAAACAGCUAAAGUUGUA